CACAGUUCUGGAGGCUGGGAAGUCCAAGAUCAAGGCAUUGACAGGUUCACCUUGUGGUGAGUGUCCAACUACUGCUGGUAAAAAGUGCCUUGAAUGCUGCAUACUUUGGAGGUGUGAGCAGAAGAAAUCUGUGCCGAAAGAAUAGCAGAACUUAGAUAAAUCACAAACAUCCAGUAUUUUCCAAUAUUGGUUUCUCCUUUCCUCCAUUUUCCCUUCCUGGAAGACUCUACUGGAUGUCUUAGUGUACCUCAGAGGGAACUUAAGAUUGGAUGAGAACGUGGCUAUUGACAUUACUAAGCUGAUUCACCUACCCCAGAAAGUGGCAAAUUAAGCAGUCUGUUGACUUUAAGAUUACCUUGGAGAUAGAUCACAGAAUUUAAAAUGCAGUCACUCAGAAAGCAAAAUUGCUUGGGAAUAAAAGGCAAUAAUUACUAUCACUCUUUCUGCAACUAGUGAAAUAUAAAAAGAAAAAAAACCACCUCCCACUCUAAACCUUGAAGCCUCAGCAAAUAUUCAGAGACUCUUCAGAUUGCAUAUUGUGAUCAAAGCAGCAAUCCUUAGAAAUCCCAACAGAAGACAGCUGGUGUGUCUAUGUUAAGAUAAACUUAGGUGUUGUUAUUUACAAAGAUAUGAUUUACAAAG
rnacentral:lncRNA from 1 species